CUGGAACUGUAGUUUGCAAGGGGACAUGCCGCAUUACCACAGAAUGUCUACGUCUCACACCACUGGAUAAAUUAUGCUGUUUAGCUGUUAUUGCACCACCUGACAUUCGCCAGGAAGUAGCAGCAAACAAUGCCAAGGCAGUGACAUCUUUAGCCCAUCCCCUGUUCGGAUAUCAGCCAGCAAGCCAACCCCUUAAAUCAAGAAAUAGCUUUCUAAGAUCUACAGAGAUACUCUCAGGAACACCUCAGCAAGCAAGAGUCCAAAAGUGGCAGGCUAAAACCUGGAAUGUCGAUCCAUAGCUGAGAUAGGGAUGAGAGACUCCCUCCUGGGCACACAGAAGACUGAGUGACAUGGAAGUCACUGAACAGACUGCACUCUGGCACCACGAGGUUCAAAGCCAAUCUUCAGAAAUGGGGCUAUAAAGUGGAGUCCACUAAAUGCGAGUGUGGAGAAGAGCAAACCACAGACCAUCUAUUAUAAUGCAGUCUGCCACAUGCACAAUGGAGGACCUUCUUAUAGCAACACCAGAGGCACCCAAAGUGGCCAGUUACUGAUCAAAGGACAUUUAGUAUAAUGCCAAGUUUUUAACUUUGUUUGUGUUUCUAAUUGUACCCUCAGUUUUGCUUCUGAUAUGAUAAAUGAAUAAAUAAAUCCAUAGGGAAUAUGUUCCAAGACACACACAGCCUUGAACACAGAUAAUGGUGAGUCUACUAUUUUGACUAUACUUGGGAUAGAAGCGUAAAUACUUCCAUUUGUGGGGUUUCCUAGGUUUUCCAGUUAUUCUAUCAUAUGCUUGGACUAGAAUACCAUAUAAUCACAUUGGAUCACUGAGAGAGGUUCACCAGCACUUCCAAGUAGAAUAUUUUUUGGAGCAUGGAGUAAAGCCGUGGAUAUUGAGCACAUGGAUAAGAAGCAAUACCAUAUUUCUUUUUGCACUGUCAUAGCAAGCAGCAAUGGCAGUAAUUAUGUUGGCAGCCUCAUCAGCAUUAAACAACCUCCUGAUAUUUAGCAUUGCUAUUUAGCAUACUGGGUGUAGCAAGGAAGCAGCUACGAAUCCAAAAAGAAGGUAGAAGAUAUUAGGGAAAACCUUUAAGUAGAUUUUGGCUUUUGAGAAUGCUACAAAACAGCAAUCUCACUUU
rnacentral:lncRNA from 1 species